CUGGUUGAUCCUGCUAGUAGUCGUAUGCAUAUCUCAAAGAUUAAGCCAUACAUGUGCCAGUAGAAGCUGAAUAGCGGCAAAACCGCGAAUUGCUCAUUACAGCAGUCGGUGUUUAAUAGCGGACGAAUUUCUUGUUGAUACCUGUGGUAAUUCCAGAGCUAAUGCUUGCACUACUGCUUCGACUUCGGUCGUAGCGCAGCUAUUAGAACAAAGCUAAACUGAUCCUUCUCGUGAGUGCUGAUGAAUCUGAAUAAUAUUGUAGAUCACAUGGUCAAGUACCGGCGACAUGUCUUGUAAAUGCUUGCUUUAUCAACUUUGGUUGAUAGUAUUAUACGCCUACCAUGGUGAUAACGGGUAACGGAGGAGCAUGGUUCGACUCCGGAGAGGAAGCCUGAGGAACGGCUGCUACAUCGAAAGAAGGCAGCAGGCACUCAAGUUACCCAAUUUCCGAAUGAAGAGGUAGUGAUAAAAAAUAACGAGGGGUGCUCUUUGAGACUCAUCAUAUCAAUGAUCUUUAUUUAAAACUGCUCGCAGGGAAUACUUGGAGGGCAGGUCUGGUGCCAACAGCUGCAGUAAUUCUAGCUCUAAUAGCUUAUAUU
rnacentral:ncRNA from 1 species